UCCAGGUGGUCACAAAGCACCGAGCUGAUCUCCCCGUGCUAUAUGGCUGCUUCCCACUAGCUAUCUAUUUUACGUUUGGUAGUGUAUAUAUGUCCAUGCCUCUCUCUCGCUUUGUCACAGCUUACCAUAUUUUAGAUUCCACCUAUAAGUGGUAUCAUAUGCUAUUUGUCUUUCUCUUUCUGACUUACUUUACUUAGUAUGAUAAUCUCUAGGUCCAGCCAUGUUGCUGCAAAUGGUAUUGUUUCAUUCUUUUUUAUGACUGAGUAGUAUUCCAUUGUAUAUGUAUACCACAUCUUCUUUAUCCAGGAGAAACAAUCUAUUGGGAAAUUACUGUCAGCAGGCGCCAUGACAGGAAGGGCAGGGAGGAUGGAGAGGACUAAGAAAAAUGCCAGGCUCACCAAAGCCCUUGACUUGUUUCCACCUCUAACUUGCAGGUUCCUAUUAGGUCCAGGAGGAGGGAAAGGAGGAAAAGGAUGCUCAGGUCCCAGCCAUCUGAGGCAGGGGCUCUCUGGUUUCACUCAGAUACUGAUGCUUGUGAGGGACAUCAGAAAAAAGGCACAAUCUCCCCUCACUCCACCCAACAGCCCAGCCUGGCAAAUGCGGGUCUCUAAGGGGAUGGGCUCUGGUGUGCGAGCAGCAGGGCUGAGCUCAGGAAGCAGCUCCUCUCUGUUCUUGGUAUUUGGGAGGAGAGAGGAGAUGAGGUUAAUAGCAGUUAUCCCUUUCAUCAACUACAUCCCCACUAAGCAGGAGAAGGAGCCCUGUAAUUCCCUAUGUCCCCAUAAUGACCGGCUAUCUGCUCUUUCCUUCAGCUUCUACAGGCUGAACUGUGGCAGUUUCCCCUAAAAAUGAAAUUCCACCACAUAUAACAAAACAUGGGAGGUGGUCGAGGUCUCUCAAUGCUAGGCAAGUAGAGUCAUGGAAUUAAGGUGCCCUAUUUCAGAAAGAAAGAAAAAUAAUUUUUCUGGUUCUGGGAAGGACCCAUGUGGGAUUUCCAAAGAAAGUAGGAAUUUAGAGAUAGAGUCGAGUGAGGCCAGCAGCUAGGCAAGACUGCUGGGGGGCAAGAUCCAUCUUCCUGCCCCUGAUGGAUAGCACCUCCUCAGCAUGUUGACGCAAACACACACACACACACACACACACACACACACACACACACACACACACACACAGAGACUCAUCUGAAGUGCUGCCCAUCACUAACAUUUUCAAUUUCAGACCUGACAAGCCAGGUUUCCUGACAGCCGGCCCAGUAUCCAAUCUUCCUGACGGAGCUUCAUCUCUGACUAGAGCCUCAGCAGUUUGUCCAGAAACGUACUUUAAGUGUGGGAGGCAGGAGACCAGAAGGACCAGGAGAUGCACAGAAAAUAAGAGAUGAGAUAGGGGGACUCCCAGCCUGGUCUCUCAUUCAUAACAGUGGAGAAGCUGGUGAGCAAACAGACGAUGCAUUCCAGGAAACGGACAGGCUAUCAUCAAAGCACUAGGUUCAGCGGCAGCCAAAUGAACAGGCCCCUUGGAGGAGGGGGUGCUGGAGCCAGAGGCUGAGUGGAGUUCACUCAACAGACGUGGAGAGAAGAGGCUCCAGCCAGCACAAGUCAUGUUUAUGAAGGCAGAAAGACAGACAGAGCCCAGUGCAUUUGGGGGCAGUGCACAGGGAUACGGAUUGGAAGUGACGAGCAGCAGGGAUGAGACUGGAGCCUGGGCAGGCAUGCUGAUACAGGUAGAUCUCUUCUUGUGGAUGAUGAAGAACUAUUAUAUUUGAAGGAAUCUUCAGCAAGGACGAGAUGGAUGAGCGGAGUCAAGUGUGGAGAUGCUCAGUCAACCAGGAGGCUAUGUCAAUAGAUGGGGUGAGAGUGGAGAAAGCCCAGCCUUAGGUGGCAGAGGUGGGGUGGGACCAUGGGACAGACUUGAGAAACUUGUGGGUGUGAGAGUAGGGUGAAGGGGAAGGAAGAGUAGCAGAUGAUGGACGUUUGGAGAAAUGUGUAGGAGUCGAUGUAAUUCACCAAUUCAGGAUGUGCAGGAGAAGGAACACGCAUCGGUCAGGGUCCCACAAGAAAUGGGGAAGGACUCAAAUUAGGACAGUGCAGGGAACGUUUUCUCGUAAAAGUGUGUGUGGGCUUGGUGUAGGGGAAAGACAAGGGCUAGUGCACCAACUUGGGGCUGGUAACGGCAGAGGGAGUUCCAGGCCAGAAGACAAGGGAGAAGACCGUUGCAUAGACCAGAAGGAGAGAGCCACGUAGAGGAGUUCUCUUGAGAGGUUCUGCGACCUUCUGGCCAAGGGACUGCCAACCCAGGUGACCUCACCGGGAGCAUGCCAGAGGAAUAAAUGCCUAGCUCCAUUUCUUCCUUUCCUCCAGUGGUGUGAGGGACCUACUAGCCAAAGCCAACUGGAGACCAGCCAGCACGGGAGCCCAUGGAUGCCAUUCCCCAGGUCAGCCUCCAGGAGGCAAAGCAAGGCAAAGAAGUGGGGGAGUGGACCUGAGGAGCGAAGAGCAGAUUCGAGGGGUGCAGCACUCUGCCUGAGAGCAAGUCCCGUCUCUGCUACUCGUCACUGUGUGGCCUCGGCCAAGUCACUGAACCUCUCUGAUCCUCACAGAGAGGUUGGGCCUGAAUACUUAGGAGUCAUCGGUGGAAAGGUAGACACCUUGGCGUGGCCGCCAUUUCCUAGAGAAUGUGUAGUAGGGGCAGAGAGACUGGGGACCUGGGGGAGGUUGAGGAAGGAGCCCAGGGAAGGACACUGGGAAGGAGCAACCAGAGAGUGGGCAGCAUCCUCCUCUGGCCUCCUCAGCACUUAUCCCUCAACCUCUCUCACUGGAUUUUGUUGUCACUGUUUCCAUGUGGCUCCAGUCAAAGUGUGAGCACCUUUGUCCCCACCCCCCAGCCCAACUAGGCUGACACCUACUCAGUCCUCGUGGGUUGAGUGACCAAGUCAAAACACUGAAGAAUCUGCUUCUGAGAACUGGGGGACUGGUCAGUGGGCUCCAGCAGAAGGUAGAAGACAACCUGGGGCUGGAGUCAGGAUCUCAGGCUGAGGAAUGACCCCAAGACCUUGCGUCCACUCGAUGGACACCUACUAGGGAUUGUGAAAAGGAAAUCAAAAUGGAGUCGGUUUUGGUAAGUGAGCUCUCUAAAACAGAGCCAGGAGGCCUCUGAGGAAGUGUGACUUAUGCACGUCCCAGCCUGGGUGGAAGCUGACCUUUUGACCACUUAGUGUCCUGACAAAGACAUCCAGAACUUCUGCCAGAAACUCAAGAUGCGUAUCAGACCCUUACUCUAAAACAACCUGUGAUGGUCUAACCCUGAAGGACAAAUAUUUCCUUUCUUGUGUCAGAAGGCAGCCUCAUGGCUUUUGCCUUUAUAAGCCCCUGAUUGUUUUUAUUUCCCCAGAACACUUUUUCAGUUUUACCCAAAUCUUUCUCCCAAACUGCAAUUCUUAAGACCCCGAAUAAAGUUCUUUGUUCUUUGCAGCCUUGAUAUUCGUUAUAGUGCAAUAGGAUUACCACGUGACCGGCACUGUGCUCAAGACUAGAGGCUCUGACCUGUGCUCAGAGAGAUGGCCACCAGGAUGCUAGCAAGGUCCCAACCCCCCUGGCUGGGAUGCAAAGUCCAGGUCCCUGGUGAGGGCGAAAACACGAGAAAGAAAAAAAUGAAACAGUUCGUCUUCUCCUACUAGGAACCCAUCCACCUGGAAGAGCUAAUAUAAGCGCAAGACCCAACACAGCCCUCCUGCCCGCUCUGGGCUCUGCCAUUAAAAACCCAAAAGGCUGUGGUCUGUGAGUUGCCGUGAGGAAGCAAAUGGUUGUUUCCCAGUCCCCGGAAAAGAGUGAGCUCCACAGUCCCUCACACAGGAUGAGCCAUGGAAACACGUGGAAAGUAAAAACUCAGGGUGGUCCGAACACGGCGAUGGUGGAGCAUCAGAGCAGACAGCGGCAGGAGCCACCUGCCCGCGCAGCCCGUGAGGACACAGAGGCAGGGCCUCACAGAAAGGAAGCAGGUAUCAUUUCCAGCCGGUGCUGACUGAACAAUACAAUAAAUGGAAGCUGCUCUAUAUUGGGUCAUAAAUCUGAGCUGGCCAAUUUCCCACUGAAAUAAGUCAGCUGCCUCCUCCUGGAGAGCCCCGGGGGGGCCCUGGCCCAGUUCAGGCCCUGCAUUACUCUCUUCUUCUCAUGAAAGAAUAAUCCUUCAAUUUCUGAAGCCGCAGAGAGUAUGUGGGUGAUUGUUUUCAUAUUAUUCUUCAACCCAUGUUGAAAUACUUCAUUAAAUA